GUGUGGAUGCAGAGUGGGGGUAGACAGGUCUGGAAGUUGCACAGAGCACAGGAGGGCUGACUUGCUUCCAUCCUGUAAAGUCUGAGGCCUCCACUGCAAAGACUCCACAGCUGAGAGGGACCCAACAGCUGGAACCAUCUGAAGAUGUCAUCUCUCAUGUUUCCCCCACAUGAUGCUGGCUGUUGGUGCGACCUCAGCCCAGGCUGUUGGCCACAACAGCCUCUGCAUGUGGCUUGGGCUUCCUCAGAGCAUG
rnacentral:lncRNA from 1 species